UACAUGGGGUGCAAACGUUGCUCGGAAUUAUUGGGCGUAAAGCGCGCGUAGGCGGUUACUUAAGUCGGAUGUGAAAGCCCUCGGCUUAACUGAGGAAGUGCACCCGAAACUGAGUAGCUAGAGUACGAAAGAGGGUCGCGGAAUUCCCGGUGUAGAGGUGAAAUUCGUAGAUAUCGGGAGGAACACCGGUGGCGAAGGCGGCGACCUGGGUAGAUACUGACGCUGAGGCGCGAAAGCUAGGGGAGCAAACGGG
rnacentral:rRNA from 1 species